GCAUCCGUAGCUCAGCUGGAUAGAGUACUCGGCUACGAACCGAGCGGUCGGAGGUUGAGUACUCGGCUACGAACCGAGCGGUCGGAGGUUCGAAUCCUCCCGGAUGCACCA
rnacentral:tRNA from 1 species